GCACUUGUUUCUCUUCAGAUAGUAUCAAUCUUUCGCCUUUUAAUAAAGAUUUCUGUGCAGGGAAACAAGAGUUAUCCUAAUUGUUUCAUGCCUUUCUGAGUUGUAGGGU
rnacentral:snRNA from 1 species